AUGUUAGAUACAUCGGGUUUAUCCAAGGCGUGGUGGGGGGAGGCUGUAUUGACAUCUUGUCAUGUCCUGAAUAAAGUUCCCACAAAGGAUAAUGAGACUACUCCCUAUGAGCAAUGGGAAAAGAAAAGAACUACACUCUCUUACUUGCGCACUUGGGGCUGUUUGGCCAAAGUCAACGUGCCGAUAGUCAAAAAGCGCAAGUUGGGACCAAAGACCGUGGACUGUGUUUUUCUUGGCUAUGCCAAGCAUAGCGUUGGCUAUGGAUUUCUAGUGGUGAAAUCUGAGGUACCUGACCAGAAGGUCGGUACAAUUAUAGAGUCUAGGGAUGCUACAUUCUUUGAGGAUAUUUUCCCCAUGAGAGAUAUGCAAAGCAAUUCUAGACUGGAAUCUGAUGAGACUCCUGAACCCGAUGGAAUAUUAUGA
rnacentral:rRNA from 1 species